UACGUAGGUGGCAAGCGUUGUCCGGAUUUAUUGGGUUUAAAGGGCGCGUAGGCGGCAUGUUAAGUCAGCUGUGAAAUCUCCGAGCUUAACUCGGAACUGUCAGCUGAUACUGAUGUGCUUGAGUGCGGAAGGGGCAAUCGGAAUUCUUGGUGUAGCGGUGAAAUGCGUAGAUAUCAAGAGGAACACCUGAGGUGAAGACGGGUUGCUGGGCCGACACUGACGCUGAGUGCGCGAAAGCCAGGGGAGCAAACGGG
rnacentral:rRNA from 1 species